GCGGCGGACGGGUGAGUCAUGCCUAGGAACCUGCCUGGUAGUGGGGGACAACGUUUCGAAAGGAACGCUAAUACCGCAUACGUCCUACGGGAGAAAGCAGGGGACCUUCGGGCCUUGCGCUAUCAGAUGAGCCUAGGUCGGAUUAGCUAGUUGGUGAGGUAAUGGCUCACCAAGGCGACGAUCCGUAACUGGUCUGAGAGGAUGAUCAGUCACACUGGAACUGAGACACGGUCCAGACUCCUACGGGAGGCAGCAGUGGGGAAUAUUGGACAAUGGGCGAAAGCCUGAUCCAGCCAUGCCGCGUGUGUGAAGAAGGUCUUCGGAUUGUAAAGCACUUUAAGUUGGGAGGAAGGGUUGUAGAUUAAUACUCUGCAAUUUUGACGUUACCGACAGAAUAAGCACCGGCUAACUCUGUGCCAGCAGCCGCGGUAAUACAGAGGGUGCAAGCGUUAAUCGGAAUUACUGGGCGUAAAGCGCGCGUAGGUGGUUCGUUAAGUUGGAUGUGAAAUCCCCGGGCUCAACCUGGGAACUGCAUCCAAAACUGGCGAGCUAGAGUAUGGGUAGAGGGUGGUGGAAUUUUCCUGUGUAGCGGUGAAAUGCGUAGAUAUAGGAAGGAACACCAGUGGCGAACGCGGAGCACCUGGACUGAGUACUGACACUGAGUGCGAAAGCGUGGGGAGCGAAACAGAUUAGGAUGACGCC
rnacentral:rRNA from 1 species